UGUUCUUGCAACACUUCUGAAACACACAAAUCUGCUUAGUCAAGCAUGUGGAGAAAGCCGGCAAGUACCUUAAAACUAGUCUUAGACAAAUAUUUGCUCUCAGGAUAUGAUGUAACAAACUAGGUAACCUUUCUACUUUGGUUCUUUAUUUAGAUACCAACCUGGUAAAAGCUUACCAGAAGUGUACCGUUGUGUAUACAAAGUUCGAAGUCGUUUACUUGCUUGCAAGAAUCUUGAACUUAUUCAAACCAGAUCAUCAUCACAAGACAGAUGGAUCUCAGAAAACCAAGAUUCUGCAGAUGUUGAUCCUCAGGAGCAUUCAUUUACCCAGACCAUUGAUGAAGAAGCUGAAAUGGAAGAACAGGCAGAGAGAGAUCGGGAAGAGGGCCAUCCAGAACCAGAGGAUGAGGAGGAAGAAC
rnacentral:lncRNA from 1 species